rnacentral:rRNA from 1 species
GACGAACGCUGGCGGCGUGCCUAAUACAUGCAAGUUGAGCGCUGAAGGUUGGUACUUGUACCAACUGGAUGAGCAGCGAACGGGUGAGUAACGCGUGGGGAAUCUGCCUUUGAGCGGGGGACAACAUUUGGAAACGAAUGCUAAUACCGCAUAAAAACUUUAAACACAAGUUUUAAGUUUGAAAGAUGCAAUUACAUCACUCAAAGAUGAUCCCGCGUUGUAUUAGCUAGUUGGUGAGGUAAAGGCUCACCAAGGCGAUGAUACAUAGCCGACCUGAGAGGGGGGUCGGCAACAUUGGGACUGAGACACGGCCCAAACUCCUACGGGAGGCAGCAGUAGGGAAUCUUCGGCAAUGGACGAAAGUCUGACCGAGCAACGCCGCGUGAGUGAAGAAGGGUUUCGGAUCGUAAAACUCUGUUGGUAGAGAAGAACGUUGGUGAGAGUGGAAAGCUCAUCAAGUGACGGUAACUACCCAGAAAGGGACGGCUAACUACGUG